AGUGGCGGACGGGUGAGUAACGCGUAAGAAUCUAACUUCAGGACGGGGACAACAGUGGGAAACGACUGCUAAUACCCGAUGUGCCGCGAGGUGAAACCUAAUUGGCCUGAAGAAGAGCUUGCGUCUGAUUAGCUAGUUGGUGGGGUAAGAGCCUACCAAGGCGACGAUCAGUAGCUGGUCUGAGAGGAUGAGCAGCCACACUGGGACUGAGACACGGCCCAGACUCCUACGGGAGGCAGCAGUGGGGAAUUUUCCGCAAUGGGCGAAAGCCUGACGGAGCAACGCCGCGUGAGGGAGGAAGGUCUUUGGAUUGUAAACCUCUUUUCUCAAGGAAGAAGUUCUGACGGUACUUGAGGAAUCAGCCUCGGCUAACUCCGUGCCAGCAGCCGCGGUAAUACGGGGGAGGCAAGCGUUAUCCGGAAUUAUUGGGCGUAAAGCGUCCGCAGGUGGUCAGCCAAGUCUGCCGUCAAAUCAGGUUGCUUAACGACCUAAAGGCGGUGGAAACUGGCAGACUAGAGAGCAGUAGGGGUAGCAGGAAUUCCCAGUGUAGCGGUGAAAUGCGUAGAGAUUGGGAAGAGCAUCGGUGGCGAAAGCGUGCUACUGGGCUGUAUCUGACACUCAGGGACGAAAGCUAGGGGAGCGAAAGGGAUUAGAUACCCCUGUAGUCCUAGCCGUAAACGAUGGAUACUAGGCGUGGCUU
rnacentral:rRNA from 1 species